CGGACCUGACUGCUAUCGGAUUGAUACUAAGCCAUGCGAGUCAUUGCAGUAAUGCAAGGCAGACGGCUCAGUAACGCGUAGUCAACCUACCCUAUGGACGGGAAUAACCUCGGGAAACUGAGUAUAAUGCCCGAUAGAACACUAUUCCUGGAAUGGUUUGUGUUCCAAAUGAUUUAUCGCCGUAGGAUGGGACUGCGGCCUAUCAGUUUGUUGGUGAGGUAAUGGCCCACCAAGACUAUUACAGGUACGGGCUCUGAGAGGAGUAGCCCGGAGAUGGGUACUGAGACACGGACCCAGGCCCUAUGGGGCGCAGCAGGCGAGAAAACUUUGCAAUGUGCGAAAGCACGACAAGGUUAAUCCGAGUGGUUUGUGCUAAACGAACCUUUUGACAGUCCUAGAAACACUGUUGAAUAAGGGGUGGGCAAGUUCUGGUGUCAGCCGCCGCGGUAAAACCAGCACCUCAAGUGGUCAGGAUGAUUAUUGGGCCUAAAGCAUCCGUAGCCGGCUCUGUAAGUUUUCGGUUAAAUCUGUACGCUCAACGUACAGGCUGCCGGGAAUACUGCAGAGCUAGGGAGUGGGAGAGGUAGACGGUACUCGGUAGGAAGGGGUAAAAUCCUUUGAUCUAUUGAUGACCACCUGUGGCGAAGGCGGUCUACCAGAACACGUCCGACGGUGAGGGAUGAAAGCUGGGGGAGCAAACCGGAUUAGAUACCCGGGUAGUCCCAGCUGUAAACUAUGCAAACUCAGUGAUGCAUUGGCUUGUGGCCAAUGCAGUGCUGCAGGGAAGCCGUUAAGUUUGCCGCCUGGGAAGUACGUACGCAAGUAUGAAACUUAAAGGAAUUGGCGGGG
rnacentral:rRNA from 1 species